CUUCAACAACGCCAGGUCCUUCUACCGCCUCGACCGCACCUGGCUCAGCGGACUCGUCUUCAUGCUCGCCGCCCUGCUGGUGGCUCUGGCCUUGGCCGUCUAUUCUGCGAGUGCCGCCAACGUCCAUGCUAAGCGCUUCACCGACUGGAGGUUCUCAUGGUCGUACUUCAUCAGCUGGGCCGCGCUAAUGCUCACCUUCAUGGCGGGGAUGUUGUCCAUGUGCUCGUACAAGCCAAAGGUCUCUAGGAGACAUUGACCCGCAGUAACCUCGACGACUUUCUCUCUCCCACUUAGACACGGGGAGAGACACAGAGACACACACAGAGA